UCAUGGCUGUGGUUAAAUCCACAGGAGGAGCUUAUAAAGCUUCAGAGGACACUUUUUCACUCAGGUCUUGCUCCUGUUCCAGAAGGAAGUGAUGAUGUACUUCUGUGGCUUCUGCUUUUACAGGCUAUGUGGCAAGACAACAAUAGCGGGAGACGCAGUCAGAUCCGUGUGGUUCAUCUGCAUGUAUGCUCUUAGCACACCGUCUUCUGACAUCAGUGGUCAUCUCCAUGCUGUGUACUAUUGCAAAAGCAGGAUGGCUUAGGCAUGAAUUAUACUGGCAGAUGUAACUCACAGGAAGAUUUUUUGAAAACUUCUCUCAAAGUGGGAAGGGAAAUGGUAGGCUAAUCUCUGCUACUUAACAUGCACCUAUUGCUGCAGUAGUUGAGUGCAACAUCAACCUCUGGACAUGUUAAGCAUGACCCUUGAAUCCCUCAGUGGCACAAGCUGCUUCAAAGAUCAGAAAAAAGCUGAAACAGCAGUCUCUGCCACUAGUCCCAGUUCCAGAAUGAGUACCAUUAGUGGGGAUAUGUUUUGCAUCAUUUGAAGUACAAAGGCAUAAGUUGCUCUGCUUUUUGCUCACCUGGAGUAUGCUGGGCUGUCUGAGGCCCAGAUGUUUCCUCUGCAUGGCCUCCUGCUACAGCUGUGUGUUCAGACUCUUAAUCCAGUCCAAAAAGCUUGCUCAUAAUUUUUUAUUGGAUUUAGGAGCCUUAUUCAAUAUCUGUUCUAGUCAAGUUUUGGUUCUGGAAAAAAUAAAUGGCAAUGAUGAACUUCAUUCCCUUUUCCUAAAAGACUUGCUCUUCAGAUCUUUGUAAGUGGUGCACAUGUGGCCUGGGAGAAGUGGUCUACGUGGGCUUGUGGUUCUCUCCUCCCUUUCACUCACACUGCACAGUUGUGUGAUUAAAAUGCUUUAAUUUUAUAAUGUCAAACUGUAAGACGGACUCCUGUUCUCUGGCAAUAGCAAAGUGUUGGAUGAUUUGACUUCCGAGCAGGGUGGAUUUUUUGCCCUUCAAGUAUCACCCUGCAUAUGACAUCACUCUUUUUAGUGUCACUUGAUGUUUGUCUUCUCCUACACACAAAGCAGCAGAGUGCUAAGGUCUUUCACCUGCCUGGCCUUGGAAGCUGGAGUGCAGUGAGCAGUGUUCUCUUCCCAGAGGUCCAGUACAGACAGAAGAAUGGGAAAGAUCCAGUUAAAAAUGAGAUCAAGGGUUGGUGGAGAGCAAAGAGCUUUGUGGAGCUGCUGAGAGGACUUCUUCUGUAUUUGCAAAUUGGCAAUUUCUCAUCAGUCUCUGGUGAGGACAGUGCUGGGACCCCCCCUGUCAGGCAGGAGGGAUAUGUGCUGGAGCAACUGUCCUGAGUGAUUUAGUAUGACUCUUUUCUUCCCAGUUUGUUUUUUGGUUGUUACUGAGCUGCAUUUAUUUUGAUUUAACUGUAAGAAUAGGGUUGAGUGCAAAAUAGAGCUGUUUAGUAAGGGAUGCAACAUGUGCUUUCUUUUUAAUGAAUUCCAAGUUAUCCAUAAAAUCAAAUCCUGUGGAAGAGCAAUUUUGGAGUGGGAAAUUUUAACAUUGUGUUAUUUCCACUGUAAUAGAAUAUUAACAACGUACCUUUGGGGGGGGGGGGGGGGGAGAUUGAGACGCUUCCUCUGGAAAUGUUAAUAUAGAGUUUUAUGACGUUGCUAUAAGACUUUGGUCUUGAUUGCUUCAAAAUAAAAAUUUGGCAAGGUUUUACUUUGUAAGUUUCAUGUGACACUGCUGGAUUGUGAUUAUUUUUUUCAACCAGCUUCCUAUAUUAUGUCUCUUUCCUUAUAUCAGUAUCUAGAAAAAAAGUCAGAUUCAUUAGAAGGUAAAAUUUUGGGGUAUUUGCAUACAAAUAAAAUCUUGAACUAAGUUCUCUUUGUAGAGUGCAUUUAAAUAUUUCUCUGCUGUGAAGUCAGCAGACAAUCUAAUAGAUUUGCUCUUCAAUGUUUAAAUAACAUCUUCCUGAACAUUAAUGCAACUGCUCCAAAGACUGCAUGGUAUCCCCUGAAGAGUUACGGUGGUGACUGCAUGUUUCUUCAUGCUAAUCUAUGAAUAUGAGAAGGUGGUACUAAGUUAAGAGAAGCUCAUUUUCCUUGUGUAUAGGCUAUGACAUCUCCAAGGUUGUUAGCUGAAUGCAAAUACUUUGCAUAGCAGAUGGCCUGAAACAGGCACUUAUGUGCAGAGGGUUUUUGCAGCAGUUACAUGCAUCCUGUCUACCAGAAUAGCUUACCCAUGCACAGCUUCUGCUUGCUUGUAACUGUGGUGCAUGGUGACCAGAUUUGAGUAUCCAGGCUAGCUUGCUUAGAUGGUGAAUAAUUGUGACUUUUUAGAAGUAUUAAGCUAUUAACAGUAUUUUUCAAAAUGUUAUUGUUUGUCGGCUCUGUUGUAAUGUUCUGCAAGUUCAAGCUGGUAAUUAACUAUGUAAAUUCUAGCAACCUGAAUCAUACUGCUUUGCCUCAAAUGCCCUCCAUAUGCGGAAAGAUCAUGGCAGUUCACAAGGGAUUUAAGCAUAGACUUGGGCCAUGAAUUAAUCCUGUCUGGUUGAAAAAUGUAGGUAAUGAUGGAACACGCAUUGUUGACUUAAAAUUGCUUAUCAGGAAGGCUGUGCAGUAGUGGACAAGGUCAAAUCAAAGGGGGAAAAGACAUGUUGAUAUUGGUUGGAAAAAAAAGGCCUUUGUGAAUGACUAUAAGGUUUCCCCCCAAAAGGUCGUAUUAUAGCAUUUCUAUGUGGCUUUUUCACCCCCCAGUGGAUUACCCAUCCACUUUGUUUUACCGUGGUCCUCUACAACACUACCAAUGUGAGAACACAUUUCUUGUAUAAACUGUGGGAAUUUUGACAUUGAGUGUCAUUCCUGGUUAGAAGCUUGCUUUAUCUUUAUUUUUUUGAGAUGUCUGGGGAUAAAACUUAAAACUUCCACUGUAUCUGUAUCAUAAAUCAAACAUUUUGCUGGAGGAUAAUGAUGCCUUAAAAAAAAAAAAAACAACAUGGAAAAUUCAAUCAAUACAAUAUGUAAAAUAUAACAGCUUGUCUGCAGUUUAAUUUCUAAUUCAUUAGUUAGUAUUUGCAUAUUUAUUAUGGGGUACUGGUUUUGAGAACAAUAAAGAAUGAAUUCAUCUUU